CGACAAAUAGUAAAAAAGAAUGUUCAGAUCCGAGCUCAGAGCACAAGGCUAUCACAAUUUAUCAGCGCAGGGGAGCGUUGGGAGUUCUUCAAAGAUGCACAUUCAGAUUCUGAUGAAUAGUCUACUUCAAAGAGCUUGAGAGUUCCCAGUUUUUCUUUUAUUUUUGUUUUUAGCUUUAAGUUAGAUAUUUAUCUUAUUUUUUUGCAAAGUCUAUCCCUUGGCUUCGUUGUCUAGAAAGGGAAUUAUCUUAUAGUAUGCGAAUUAUUCAAUGGAACUCUCAACUAUGAUAUUUACAAAAAUACUUUCAUAAGUCCUUCGAUAAAAAAAAUAUACGUCUAUUUUUGCAUAAACAUCAUGCAUCAUCCUGCAUUUCAUAGUCUCAAAUCAAAGUCUCACACAAACUUCCUUUUCCAGAAAAAGGGUCAACUCGUUUCAUACGGUGGCCCCACGUAUCAUCUACAAGUCAAC
rnacentral:lncRNA from 1 species